rnacentral:lncRNA from 1 species
AGAUACUUAUAUCAAUUGUCACCAAAAUCGAGAACAUAAGCGCACAACAUAUCCUCGAGCGUCUGGAUGGUACGUUCAGACUAACCAUCAGUCUAAGGAUGAUAGGCAGUACUGAAGUACAAUCCCAAACUAAAGGCUUCCUAAAAACUGUCCCAGAAAUGAGAGGUGAAUCGAGAUCUCUAUCUGAAACAAUAGAAGAGGGAACG